rnacentral:lncRNA from 1 species
AUCCGCAAGCCCACGUGACAAGUGGUGCUGCCACCAAGAAGAGCAGCGUGCCGUCAGCCGACAACCGGCGCCUCGCACCACGCGGUGCCACCGCUGGCUCCCGGACCCCGAGCCCUAAUAUCUCGGCGGCAGUGGGCGACCGCAGCAGCAGCAGCGCGGUCUCUGAUACCAGUGCACCGGGGAUGGAAGAAGCCGGCAGCGAGCGACACCUACCCUGAUGGAGCCAAUAAACUGAGCAGCCACUGAUGAGGCAUCGGUAGGGCCUGGCAAGCUCUCCAACUUUCUCAAGGCAGUUUUACACGGGCCCUCCUUACAAGUUCUUCAUCAUCCACCAGUGUCCCGAAGUAGUCCAAGCCCGGUCUCUCUGUUCGAGCUCUGUUAUUCUGCAGUGCGUCUGAUCUUUGCUAUGUUUCCAGUUUCCAUUCUAACCAUUUUAUCAUGUGUCCCCCACCCUACCCUACUUUUUUCAUUUUUUGCUGCAGAAGUGUAACGCGCAGUUGUUUUCGAUGGCUAUGUGUGACUCUCAUGUUGUAGUCAAAUUCAUGUAUCACGUAUGCGGGCCAACGUUUAGUUUACAUAGUGUGGCCUUCUCUACAUUAGCAUUUGAGACAGUUCUGAAUGUUCAGUUUCCAUUUGCGAGCCUCGACAGGCCUCAGAUGUGGUAUGUACAGAUAUUUUUGUGCUUCAGGACUUCCGGAAAACGCUUUAUUUUUCCGCAAGAUGACACCCUGUGAAAAAUGAAGUUAUACACACAUACACACAUAUCUUGGAAGUCGGCACGUGUGGUUGUUGGUGCUGACGACGCACCCUAUUCGGGCAGUGCAUGCGAGGCUGUUGUACUUGAGAUUGCAAGGUAAGACGUGACUGUGGUGGUCUUCUUUUAUGCAAGCGUUUGCGUGGACGCAUUCCUCAUGCGUCGUUUGCGCAUUGUUUUGAGAGACUCGCAGUUGCUUGGCAUAACGAAGCAGCAACAAAAAAAAGGGGUUGGAAUUCAAGCAUUAAAUGCACGCUUAGAUGAGGUUUGUGCCGCAAUGUCACAAAAGCUGCGUGAAAAAUAUUCGAGAACGAUGCCACCGCAACGGUGCUUUUUUGCGGUAGAACGACGAAUGGAUGUCGGAUAGGCCUAGCCUCUUUGUUUUUGUUUACUUGUUGCCCACAUUUACGAUACCUUGUUGCUUGCAUAUGCGUUGCUGCCUUUCGUGCCGUAGUCAUCAACGUUUUAUCUUCUAAUGUGUGCAUUGUCUAGUCAAGACUGCAGUCACUUCUGUUCGUGUCUGAGGGUGACGUACUCGGUGGCAGCGGACAUGCUAGUCCGCCGGUGCGCUCACACUUUUGAUGCCUGUUGCGUUUGUUACAGUUUAUCGUGCCUCUCAUUUUUUUUGUUGAUCAUUUUCAUGAAUACGACGGUGUGUGUGCAAUGCACUCGAUGACUGUGCUCGGACCAGCUAGUUGCCAAAUUUUGAGGAAUUUGUAGCGUAGGCUUUGUGUUUGUUGCCGAUGAAUUAUUAUACGCUUUGUCGCCCGUUUACUGUAGCCUCCGUUUGACUGUCAUGUGAGCCUUCACUUGAGAUGUAUGCAGUGAUUUGCUGCGGUUGCACUGUGGACAUUGUACAGUGCAGUGUUUCACUCGCCUAGUGAAAAUUAUGUGGAUUCGGGAAUGGCAAGCAUAAUAACAUCCUUCUCCUGUCUGCUGAAUCUUCAGUAGAUGCCGCUACUGUUUCCCCUGAAGUAUUAAUUCACUUGCAGAUGAAAUUCUGUGCUUCCUUCGAGGCCCAUCACUAAUUUACAAUAAAGCAGCUUCACGCUUUCUCUAGUUCCUCUCUUUGAGGGAUAUUUUUUUUUUUUGCUCUAUUGCCUUGUUUCCAGGCUUUUCCCACCCAACUUUUUCUUCUUUUUUUAACAUUUAAGCGUUAGGAUUUUUACCGGCGUUGAACUUCUCGUUUGUUCUUUAUUCUAGGAUUAAAGUAUCGUUUAGCUCAGAACAGCAUGUCAUGUGCAUACAGUGUCUAGAUGCUAGUGCAUUUGCUAAGGGUUUCACUGGAUGUAUUGUCGUUUUGUACCCAGAACUGCUUGGAAAAGGAGCUUGUGUACCGUUGUCUGUUUCUGCAAAGGUUGUGCUACGUAGCACUGUCUUUGCUGAGCUGGAUAUUGUCUUGGGAAGCACGAUUCGCAACCGGACGGGGAAGGACUGUGGAGAGACAUUAACUGUGCCUCAGGUUGUUUCUACUAUUACUAACGUAGUGUUCUGUUCUUGCGGGCCCCCCACCCCCGCUUUCAGGUCCUCUUUCAUUGAUACUUUUUUUAUUAUAACAGAUUUACAGUGCUGUAAAUCUAUUUAUCUGUCAGUACUUUUGUGACCUUUUCUCUUAAUUGAACUUACCACUAACUGCCGGUGAAGUAGUGUCAACACCGGCGUGUUGUCUUCUGAUUGUAUGCGUUCCAGAUUUACUGAGCUUGUUCGUGUUAUUUAUGACUAUUUUUGCAGGGACAUAUCUGUUUUAUUUUGGGAGAGCUGCGUGUGAUUUUUUUUUCGUUCAGCGAGUUUACACGGUGCACGGAAGCUGAAGGGGCUUGCGUUCUGUAAUAUGUGGCAGAAAUCGUACGUGUGGACGUCAUAUGCGAGAGUUAAGCUUUGAAUGGGCUUGGGAAACUACAUUCCUAAUUAUUAUAAUUUUUUUUCUUGUGACGUCUGUAGAUGUAGCCGGUUUCCUGUGCAAUGUAUAUUAAAAGAGGUGACAUGCGUCUUGUACUUGGAGUGGUCACCCGCAAAACUUCCAACAUUGUAUGUUAACCGUGUAAAAUACUCUAUAGAUAUAUAAAA